rnacentral:rRNA from 1 species
UACGUAGGGUGCGAGCGUUAAUCGGAAUUACUGGGCGUAAAGCGUGCGCAGGCGGUUUUGUAAGACAGAGGUGAAAUCCCCCGGGCUCAACCUGGGAACUGCCUUUGUGACUGCAAGGCUAGAGUACGGCAGAGGGGGAUGGAAUUCCGCGUGUAGCAGUGAAAUGCGUAGAUAUGCGGAGGAACACCGAUGGCGAAGGCAAUCCCCUGGGCCUGUACUGACGCUCAUGCACGAAAGCGUGGGGAGCAAACAGGAUUAGAUACCCCGGUAGU